rnacentral:ncRNA from 1 species
AGAUGUGCUCGUAGAGUAACGAGCAGGGUAAACAAAAGAAAUGCUCAUUAAAG